AUGAUCUCCUCACAUUACGAGGCUGUCUAAGUGGUGAAGGACGAGGUCCAAUCGGCAUAUACAUAUCUACGAACACAUCUGACAGGAGGUCGUCCACCUCAGAAGUGUGUACUACAUCAAUCAAGUCAUUACAGCUGGGACAGUACCACUGAUCUAUAGGGACCUGUUAAAAAUUUAAAUGGGUGGCAGGCAGGAGCUGGAUGAGAGAAGCGGAGGACCAUGCUCAAUGUGUGAACUACUGAUUCAAUGGUAGAAAAGAAAAGAUUUUUUGCACCACAGGCGAUGAAAAGUGGAUACACUACGAUAAUCCAAAGCGUAGAAAGGCAUGGGGUAAGCCCAGCCAUGCAUGAAAAUUCUCUGCAAAACCAAAUAUCCAGGGUUUGAAGUUUCUUCUCUGUAUUUGGUGGUGUCAUCAGGGUGUAAUUUAUAAUGAGCUGCUCAAUCUGAAUAAAAAUAUCACAAGCAUCGCUAUUGACUUCAAUUAAUGUGUUUAUGAGCCUUAAAGAAAAACGGCCACUACACGAACAGAGACAGGACAAAGUGAUUUUGCUACAUGACAAUGCUCUGCCUCAUGUUGCAAAACCAGUGAAAGCCUACCCAGAAACGCUUCAAUGGUAAGUUCUAGCCCACCCGCGGUAUUCACCUGACAUAGCCCCUUCUGAUUUUCACCUAUUCCAUCCGAUGGCACAUGGCUUAACUGACCAGCACUUUCAUUCAUAUGAAGAAGCUAAAAAAUGGAACAAUUCUUGGAUAGCCUCAAAAGACAAAUCGUUUUUCUGAUGCGGAAUGCAUAUACUGCCAGAAAGAUGGGAGAAAGUAGUUGCUAGCCUUUGACAAUACUUUGAAUGAAAUCUUUUUGUUGCUUAUAUUAAAACAAAGCUUUUAUUUUGAAAGUAAAUAGCGAGAACUUAUUCAAGGUCCUAAUAUAGUAAAGUGCAAUACUACCACGUCAUGUAGUAUUAAGUAUUAAAAUACAUACAAUUAAAUUAAAUGUAGAUGUGUAUCUAUUUAUUUUUGUAUUUCAUUGCCCUCUGUACACUUGAAUCUAUCAAUGUCUGUUUUUUCUAUUUACUUUCUACUCAUGUGUAAUGUUAAUAGUGGAAAGUUGCAUGAUUUUGUUUACAUAUUUUUAAUCUCUAUAUACAAAAA